UAGGGAGCGAGCGUUGUCCGGAUUUACUGGGUGUAAAGGGUGCGUAGGCGGCUCUGCAAGUCAGUAGUGAAAUCCAUGGGCUUAACCCAUGAACUGCUAUUGAAACUGUAAAGCUUGAGUGAAGUAGAGGCAGGCGGAAUUCCCGGUGUAGCGGUGAAAUGCGUAGAGAUCGGGAGGAACACCAGUGGCGAAGGCGGCCUGCUGGGCUUUAACUGACGCUGAGGCACGAAAGCGUGGGUAGCAAA
rnacentral:rRNA from 1 species